rnacentral:lncRNA from 1 species
UUUUAUGUCAUUUAUAUUGUUGCGUGUAUGAGAUAAAUAGAGAUUUUGAUGUAUGAGGGGUUGAAACUUCAACUUUGAAAGAGAUGAAAGUGAGAUUAAUGUUAUGGGAGGAAAAUGAGAGGGAGAAUAGAUGGAAAUAGUAGGACAUGAUGGAGAGUGGGAUGGGAGAGCGAGAAGAAGAUGGAGAAGUGCGAAAGGUUGUAGAUUGGUGAAAUUGAGCGAGGGCGAGGGACUUUCACGUUUAAGGUUAGUUUUGGAGUCCAAGUUUCAAGCAUUUAGAACAAAUGGAACUCUCUAAAAAAAAAAUAAGUGCUUUUAUGUUUUACGGUUUUUGAAAAAUGGGCAAGGGGUUUCGUGUUUUGAGUUUAUGAAAAAUACAAAUUAUUGAAGUAUCUGGAACCAUGACAAAAUAGGUGCAAACUAGGAGAUGAUAAAUUAAUUACCAACAGAUAAAAAUGUUGGUAUUUAAUUGAAAUAGUCUCACAUUAUUUAGUAUUGCAAAGAAAGGGUGAAGUCAAAACUACAUGUAAAAUUUUAGUUUUUUAUUAUAAGAUGC